AUUGAACGCUGGCGGAAUGCUUUACACAUGCAAGUCGAACGAUGAACCUUAGCUUGCUAAGGGGAUUAGUGGCGAACGGGUGAGUAAUGUAUCGGAACGUAUCCAAUAAUGGGGGAUAACUAGUCGAAAGAUUAGCUAAUACCGCAUACGUCCUACGGGAGAAAGCUAGGGACCUUCGGGCCUGGCGUUAAUGGAGCGGCCGAUAUCUGAUUAGCUAGUUGGUGGGGUAAAGGCUCACCAAGGCGACGAUCAGUAGCUGGUCUGAGAGGACGACCAGCCACACUGGAACUGAGACACGGUCCAGACUCCUACGGGAGACAGCAGUGGGGAAUUUUGGACAAUGGGCGAAAGCCUGAUCCAGCCAUUCCGCGUGAGUGAAGAAGGCCUUCGGGUUGUAAAGCUCUUUCGCAAGGGAAGAAAACUUAAGCUCUAACAUAGCUUGAGGUUGACGGUGCCUUGAUAAGAAGCACCGGCUAACUACGUGCCAGCCGCCGCGGUAA
rnacentral:rRNA from 1 species